AUCAACUGGCUACUGUGCCAGCUGGUGGAUAGCUCGGCUCGAGAGCCGAUGACGGACGUGCCAAGCUGCGAUAAGCCUCAGGGACCCGCAUGGAGGGAAAGAACUGAGGAUCUCCGAAUGGGAAUCCCCACGCAAUUGCCUCGCGCAAUGGGGAACGUUCCGAAUUGAAACAUCUUAGUAGGAACAGGAAAAGAAAGCAAUCCGCGAUGUCGUUAGUAACGGCGAGUAAACGCGACACAGUCCAAACCGAAGCCUUCGGGCAAUGUGGUGUACGGACUACCCAUAACGGACCUGGGUCUUAUGUGAAGUCUCCUGGAACGGAGCGUGAUACAGGGUGAAAACCCCGUAACAUAAGAACCAGAUCCCGGGGUUGUUCCAGAAUAGCGGGGGUUGGAUAUCCCUCGUGAAUUUCGCAGGCAUCAACUGCGAAGACUAAACACUCCUCGAGACCGAUAGCGAACAAGUAGCGUGAGCGAACGCUGAAAAGCACCCCGAACAGGGCGGUGCAAUAGGGCUUGAAAUCAGUUGGCGAUAGAGCGACGUGGCAUACAAGGUCACUCGACGAAAGAACUGGGAGCGAUCCCGUAGUAUGACUCGAGUGAAGCCGAUGUUACGUCGUACGUUUUGAAAAACGAACCAUGGAGUGCAUCUGACUGGCGAGUCUAAGGGGUGAACCCCCGGAGGCAUAGGGAAACCGAUACGGCCGCAGUCUUUGACCAGGGCCACCGUCUUCAAGGGCGGGGAGCCAACCGGAUGCGACCCGAAACCAAGUGAUCUACGCCGGAGCAGGGCGAAGCGUGGCGAAAGCUGCGUGGAGGCCCGUUAGAGUUGGUGUCCUACAAUACCCUCUCGUGACUCUGGUGUAGGGGUGAAAGGCCCAUCGAACUUGGCAACAGCUGGUUCCAACCGAAACAUGUCGAAGCAUGACCUCUGAUGAGAUAGUUCGUGAGGUAGAGCGACCGAUUGGGAAUCCGGACUCCGAGAGGAGUUCGCUUCCCUGUCAAACUCCGAACUUACGAACGUCGUAGACUCAGGGAGUCCGGUGUGCGGGGUAAGCUUGUGCACCGUGAGGGAGACAACCCAGAGCCAGGUUAAGGACCCAAAGUGUGGAUUAAGUGUGAUUGAAGAUUGUCUCGAGCCCUAAACAGCCGGGAGGUGAGCUUAGAAGCAGCUACCCUCUAAGAAUAGCGUAACAGCUUACCGGCCGAGGUUCGAGGCGUCGAAAAUGAUCGGGACUCAAAUCCACCUCCGAGACCUGGCGGCGUGUCUUAUGACACGAUUCCGUAGGUUGGCAUACUGCAUGGGUGGAAGCACGGGUGAGAACUCGUGUGGACCGUGCAGCAACGAAAAUCAUGGUCUCAGUAGCAGCGAGAGUCGGGUGUGAACCCCGACGGCCUUACGCGCAAGGGUUCCUCGGCACUGUCAAUCAGCCGAGGGUUAGUCGAUCCUAAGUCUAACCGUAAUUCGAAUUAGAUGAAAGGGAAACUGGUUAAUAUUCCAGUACCUUCUUGCACCAAACGUCGACGCUUUAGGAAACACCGAGCGGGGCCUUCGCCCCGUCGAAUCACCGAAAUUCGUGGAAGCCGUAACGGCACGAAGCGAACGAACGGUGAGAUAGGGAAACUCGGCGGUACCUAGAGCCCGUGAAAAGACAAGCAAGAAGCUCGUACCGAGAUCCGACACAGGUGCGCUGGCAGAGCAAGCCAAGGCCUGUCGGGAUCAACCGACGUUAGGGAAUUCGGCAAGUUAGUCCCGUAAGUUCGCGAUAAGGGAUGCCUGCUCUUGACCGAGCAGGUCGCAGUGACUCGGACGCUCCGACUGUCUAGUAACAACAUAGGUGACCGCAAAUCCGCAAGGACUCGUACGGUCACUGAAUCCUGCCCAGUGCGGGUAUCUGAACACCCAUUACAAUGGGACGAAGGACCCGUCAACGGCGGGGGUAACUAUGACCCUCUUAAGGUAGCGUAGUACCUUGCCGCUUCAGUAGCGGCUUGCAUGAAUGGAUCAACGAGAGCGUCACUGUCCCAACGUUGGGCCCGGUGAACAGUACGUUCCAGUGCGGAGUCUGGAGACCCCCAAGGGGAAGCGAAGACCCUAUAGAGCUUUACUGCAGGCUGUCGCUGAGACGUGGUCGCUAAUGUGCAGCAUAGGUAGGAGCCAUUACACAGGUACCCGCGCCAGCGGGCCACCGAGGCAGCAUUGAAAUACUACCCGUUAGUGACUGCGACUCUCACUCCUGGCGGAGGACACCGGUAGCCGGGCAGUUUGACUGGGGCGGUACGCGCUCGAAAAGAUAUCGAGCGCGCCCAAAGAUUUCCUCACGCGAGUCGGGAACUCGUGGAAGAGCGCAAGAGCAAACGGAAGUCUGACAGUGACAUUCCCAACGAGUGUCGCUGACGCGAAAGCGUGGUCUAGCGAACCUACGAGGUUCAUUCAUGGGACCCGUAGAUGACAGAAAAGCUACCUUAGGGAUAACAGAGUCGUCACCGGCAAGAGCACAUAUCGACCCGGUGGCUUGCUACCUCGAUGUCGGUUCCCUCCAUCCUGCCUGUGCAGAAGCAGGCAAGGGUGAGGUUGUUCGCCUAUUAAAGGAGGUCGUGAGCUGGGUUUAGACCGUCGUGAGACAGGUCGGCUGCUAUCUAUUGGGGGUGUUAAGGAACUUGACGUGAACGUUCGUAUAGUACGAGAGGAACUACGAAUGGGUGCCACUGGUGUACCGGUUGUCCGAGAGGGCAGAUGCCGGGCAGCUACGCACCACGGGGUAAGAGCUGAACGCAUCUAAGCUCGAAACCCACACGGAAAAGAAGUUCCACUGAGGACACUCGUAGAAGACGAGUUCGAUAGACUCGGGGUGUACGCAACGAGGUAACGAGUUGUUAAGCCCGCGAGCACUAACAGUCCAAGCCACAUUCA
rfam:Haloferax volcanii DS2, complete genome.